CACCCAGUGUGAACUCGUGGACCACCGUGGAGCCGUACUGAAUCACUCCCACCUGCAGUAGAAACACAACAGAACUCACGUCCCGGUCCAGAGGGGCGGGUCUCGUCGGUGAUGUUCUUAAUACUGACACCUGCUGGUGACAAGUUGGAGGUCAUGUGACGAGGGCAUCACUCACCCAGGUUUAGUCUGCUGCAGUUCACAGAAUUUCUGUUGUCCAGUGGACACCUGAACACAUCGCCAGUCUGUUGCUGCCCUGUGGAUUCAAACGGAGCUCCAACCAGCAACCUGCCAAAUCACACACAUACACCGGCUCAGGCCAGGAAUUCCUCGCAUGAAGCUCAGCGCUGAUUCCCGUCUUCAUAUUCCUAGGAAUGUUGACUUGUUGAUUCUGUGAGCCCGUGAUCAAAAUGAUCGAUGAGAAAGAGGAACAUUCCUCCUCACUCUGGUCAUGUUCUGGCUCAGGUGGGACCAGAACUGUCUGAAGGUUUUAUUUUCCCUCCUGGUGGUCCAGCCUGUGAUCAGGAACUUUUUAACGGUUCAGAGUUCCAGGAUUCACUGACGCAGAGUCGGAUCAUCCACCAAAGUGAACCUCACACCACUGCCCGCAUCACUGAACACACUGGAGUGAUGUGCUUCACCAACAGUACCAGGAACAAUCUGUGUUUUUCACUGUAAGAACUCAUGCCAAGAAAUCAGGCACCACAAAAAUGACUGCUAACAGAUGGAACCAUUUAUGGAUCAGAGGGUGGAGAUAAGGAAAAAUAGAACAGACUCUGGAAACUGACACCACCCUCAGUGAUUUUAGUUCAGAGUAAAGAAAAUCAGUGAAUUUAAAAUUGUUCUAUUGCCUUUGGUGCAGGAGAGUGAGCUCUUAGUAAAGAAACAUUUUUGCUAAUGAAAAAUUAAAGACACAUUUAAAAAAUAAUGGCAUGUUUCCAUUUUCUUUCUAGCAGAGUUUGGUUCCUGUCUGCCAGGAACAGUUUUCUCUCCGUUUAAUGCAGCCAGCAGUUGGAUUUAUUACAACUGUUGGCAGCCUGGACCUUAAUCUUCAUCAUCAUCAUCAUCAUCAACC